rnacentral:rRNA from 1 species
UGGUAGCUUCAUGGGAGGGAAAACCCCCAUGUAUAAGGCGAAUGCGUGAAGCGUAGCGAACAUAAAAGUAGCGAAGCGUGUGGAGUCACUGUCAGGAAAAGCCGCUAUUGCGUAUCAUGAACCCGUACCGUAAACCGACACAGGUGGAUGAGGAGAGAAUCCUAAGGCCGACGGAAGAAGCAUUGUUAAGGAAUUCGGCAAAAUGACCCCGUAACUUCGGGAGAAGGGGUGCCUACGAAUGUAGGCCGCAGAGAAUUGGCCCAAGCAACUGUUUAGCAAAAACACAGGUUUAUGCGAAACCGAAAGGUGAAGUAUAUGAGCUGACGCCUGCCCGGUGCUGGAAGGUUAAGGGGAGAGCUUAGAGGCAACUCGAAGGUUCGAACUUAAGCCCCAGUAAACGGCGGCCGUAACUAUAACGGUCCUAAGGUAGCGAAAUUCCUUGUCGGGUGAGUUCCGACCCGCACGAAAGGCGUAAUGAUUUGGGCACUGCCUCGACAAUGCAUCCGGUGAAAUUGAAAUACCAGUGAAGAUGCUGGUUACCCGCGCCAGGACGGAAAGACCCCAUGGAGCUUUACUCCAGUUUGAUGCUGGGAUUCGGUACUGCAUGUACAGGAUAGGCGGGAGACUAGGAAGAUAACGCCAGUUGUAUCAGAGUCGCUGUUGGGAUACCGCCCUUGUAGUACUGGGUUUCUAACCUGCCACCGUGAACCGGUGGAGGGACAACGUCAGGCGGGGAGUUUGACUGGGGCGGUCGCCUCCGAAAGGGUAUCGGAGGCGCUCAAAGGUUCCCUCAGAAUGGUUGGAAACCAUUCGAAGAGUGCAAAGGCAGAAGGGAGCUUGACUGCGAGGUCGACGGACCGAGCAGGUACGAAAGUAGGACUUAGUGAUCCGGUGGUAGAAAGUGGGAUUGCCAUCGCUCAACGGAUAAAAGCUACCCUGGGAUAACAGGCUAAUCACUCCCAAGAGUUCACAUCGACGGAGUGGUUUGGCACCUCGAUGUCGGCUCAUCGCAUCCUGGGGCUGUAGCAGGUCCCAAGGGUUGGGCUGUUCGCCCAUUAAAGCGGUACGCGAGCUGGGUUCAGAACGUCGUGAGACAGUUCGGUCCCUAUCCGGCGCGGGCGUAGGAUAUCUGAAAGGAGCUGGCCUUAGUACGAGAGGACCGGGCUGGGCGGACCGCUGGUGUAUCUGUUGUCAUACCAAUGGCAUAGCAGGGUAGCCAAGUCUGGAAGGGAUAAACGCUGAAGGCAUCUAAGCGUGAAGCCCCCCUUAAGAUAAGAUAUCCCUGGAGUUAAUCCAGUAAGACCCCUUGAAGACGACGAGGUAGAUAGGGCAGAGGUGGAAGUGUGGUAACACAUGGAGCUGACUGUCACUAAUAGGUCGAGGGCUUGAUC